ACCCGAAAGAUGGUGAACUAUGCUUGAGCAGAAUGAAGCCAGAGGAAACUCUGGUGGAAGUUCGUAGCGGUGUUGACGUGCAAAUCACUCGUCUGACUUGAGUGUAGGGGCGAAAGACUAAUCGAACCAUCUAGUUG
rfam:Trichinella spiralis unplaced genomic scaffold Scfld1421, whole genome shotgun sequence.